CUGGUGGAGGACGCUUUCCUGAUGAAGGUGCUGGAGGGCAUGGCUUUUGCUCUCUUCAUGUUGGAGCGUGGGGUCCCGUACCGCCCCACGGAACUGUUUGAUGAGCUGGUGGCCCACGAGGUGGCAUGCAGGCGGGCGGAUGAGAACCACCCCCAGUGUGUCCUGCGUCACAUCCAGGAACUGGCGGAGCAGCUCUACAAGAACGAGAACCUGUACCCAGACUUGGCGAUGCACAAGGUACAGAGGCGGGUGAGAGCAGCCAUCUGCGAUGGGCACCCCAGCCCUUCCCCUAGCUGGAUGAGGGCACCAUGCAGCGGAUCGUGGACCAGGCUACUGCCAAGAUGCAAGGGGCACACCUAGCCACGAAGGCUGAAGGGAGGACCACAGGGCCCUCAGGGCCCCGCAUGACUGCCAUACUGGAGUGGUGCAGAGGGCUGCAGGUCAACAGCGCUGGCCGGCUGGAGGUUGUGGGCAAUUGCAUCUCCCAUGAGUUUGAGGGGAAGAUGCUUGAAGCCAAGAAGCUGCUCCCAGCCGUGCUGAGGGCCCUGAAGAGGCGAGCUGCCCACCGCUGCCUCGCCCAGGAGCUGCACCUGUAUGUGCAGCAGAACUCGGCCGUCCUGGAUAACCAGCAGUUUGACUUUGUCAUCCAUAUGAUGAACUGCUGCCUGCAGGACUGCACUUCUCUGGACGAGCAUGACAUCUUGACUGCUCUGCUGCCUCUGGUCACGAAGCUGGAAGCUGAGCCGGAGGGGUGAGGCAGUUCUCUUACAGCUGUGUGCAGGAGCACGUGGUGUGGAGCAUGCCAGAAUUCUGGGAGGCCAUGUUCUAUUGGGACACGCAGACUCAAAUCUGGGCCCUCUACCUGGAGCCAACCAAGGACCAGGCCCCUGCCCAGGAGGUUGGGGAGGCACCUUCCCAGGAGGACGAGCAAGCACUCUGCCCUAGACGUGGCUUCUGAGCAGUGGUGUCUGUGGCCAUCCUUGAGCGGUGAGAAGCAGCAGGAACUGAUGCAGAAAGAGGACAGCAUAGUGUUCAGCCAGGCCAUCCACUAUGCCAACCGCAUGAGCUACCUCCUGCUGCCCCUGGACAGCAGCAAGAGCCUCCUGCUUCAGGAGCUCCCAGGCUGGGUGACCUAGAGAGCGCCAGCAACAGCCUGGUCCCCAACAGCGUGGCUGGCAGUGUGGCUAAGAGCUAUGACACGGGGAGCGGCUUUGAGGACACAGAGACCUGCAAUGUAGCUGGGGCUGUGUUCUGCUUCAUCAAUCGCUUUGUGGACAAGGUUUGCACAGAGAGUGGGGUCACCAAUGACCACCUCAAAGGGCUGCAUGUCAUGGUGCCAGACAUCAUCCAGAUGCACAUAGAGACCCUGAAGGCUGUGCAGCGGGAGAACUGGAGGCUGAUGCCCACCCAGAAACCAAAGCUACUGAGGCCGCGCCUGCUGUCUGGUGAGGAGUGUGUGCUGGAUAGCCUGCGCAUCUACCUGCUACCGGAUGGGCGUGAGGAGGGUGCCGGGGGCAGUGCAGGGGGGGCCAGCACUGUUCCCAGCUGAGGGCACCGUCUUCCUCAUCACGUACCACGUCAUCUUCACAGGGAUGCUCACAGACCCCCUGGUGGGGGAGCAGGUGGUGUUCCGCUCCUUCCCGGUGGCUGCGCUGACCAAGGAGAAGUGUAUCAGCGUCCAGACCCCUGUGGACCAGCUCUUGCAGGACGGGCUGCAGCUGCGCUCCUGCACAUUCCAGUUGCUGAAAAUGGCCUUUGAUGACAAGGUGGGGUCUGACAGUGUCGAGCCCUUCUGCAAGCAGCUGCAUAAGCUGCGGUACACGCUGGAUGUCAGGGCCACCUUCUCCUUCACCCUGGGCUCUGCCUACACACUGGGCAGGCCACCCCGUGUCUACACUGGGCAGGCCACCCCGUGUCACCAAGAACAAGGGUCUUUCCCUCAGAACCCUGUCCCAGAACCUGGUUAAGAAUGCUAAGAAGACCAUUUGGCGGCAGCAUGUCGCUCGCAAGAAGUACAACCCCCCAAGCUAGGAGCGCUGGGGCCAGCCCCCUGAGGACCAGGAGGACAAGAUCUCAGUGUCUGAGGAGCUGGAGCCCAGCACGCUGACCCCGUCCUCAGCCCUGGAGCCUUCAGACCGCAUCACCAUGAGCAGCCUCCUGGUGGAAAGGACUUGCCGCGAUUACCAGUACCUCGGCCUGGGCACCCUGAGCAGCCGCCUGAGCUGGGUCAAGUCUGAAUCCUUCUGCAUUUCUCCGGUCAACCGCAUGUAUACCAUCUACUGCAGCUACCCGGGGCUGCUGAUCGCGCCCCAGAGUGUCCAGGACAACGCCCUGCAGCAUGUGUCCCACUGCUACCGCCAGAACUGCUUCCCCGUGGUCUGCUGGGGCAGCGGGCGGUCCAAGGCAAUACUGCUGCGUUCUGGGGGCCUGCAUGGCAUAGGUGUCGUCGGCCUCUUUAAAGCCCAGAACGCACCUUCUCCUCCAGUUCCAGGCGGACUCCAGUAGUGUGGAGCAGAAGAAGUACCUGUAGGCUGUGGUCAGCUCCAUGCCCCGCUACUCCGGUGCAUCCGGAUGCAACACGCUUAGCGGCUUCUCCUCAGCCUACGUGGGCAGCCACGGUAAGUGGGGGCAUGUCGGGAUUAGUGGGCGCAGCAGUGGGCUUGGAGCCAAUGUGGGCACCUGGCUAGCUGGCAGAGACGUGCUGGCCCCACCCCAGGCCAACGGCUGCCCCUUGCCCCCCAACCAGGACUUCCUGUGGCUGCAGCGAGCAGCCCUCUACAUCCUCGGGGACAAAGUCCAACUCAAGAGUGUGAGGCCAGAUCCCCUGCAGCAGUGGGAGCUGGUGCCCACUGAGGUAUUCCAGGAGCGGCAGGUGAAGGCUAGCUUCAAGAAGCUGCUGAAGGCAUGUGUCCCAGGCUGCUCUGCUGCUGAGCCCAGCCUAGCCUCCUUCCUGCCCUUGCUGGAGGACUGGAGUGGCUGAUUCAGAUCCACAAGCUGCUGCAGGUGUUGGUGCUGGUGGGGAGCUCCUGUACUCAAGCUCCUCCGUGCUGAUGGGCCUGGAGGACGGCUGGGCCAUCACCACGCAGGUGGUAUCCUUGGUGCAGCUGCUGUCAGACCCCUUCUACCGCAUGCUGGAGGGGUUCUGCCUGCUGGUGGAGAAGGAGUGGCUGUCCUUCAGUAAUCGCUUCAGCCACUGGAGAGACCACAUUCUGGCUGGACAGAGCAGCAGCUUCACACCAUCUUCCUGUAGUUCCUGGACUGCCUACACCAGGUCCACCUGCAAUUCCCCACGGAGUUUGAGUUCAGCCAGUUCUACCUCAAGUUCCUUGGCUACCACCAUGUGUCUCGCUGUUUCCGGACCUUCCUGCUGGACUCUGACUAUGAGCACAUUGAGCUGGGGCUGUUGUAAGAGAAGGGGCAGCGCAGGGGCCAGCUGCCUUGCAGGUCUGUGUGUGGACCGGAUGAGCAAGAGGACACCCAUGUUCCACAAUUACAUGCAUGCACCCUAGGACACAGAGGUCCUGCGGACCUACAGCAACGUGUCCAAUCUGAAGGUGUAGGACUUCUACACUGAGGAGAUGCUGGCCGAGGGCCCUCCCUAUGAGCAGAAACUGGCCCAGGGGCCCCCUGAGCCCCAAAGGAAGAAUGGUCUGAGGGAGGCACUCCCCAGAGCAGGCACAGUAUGGUGUGGCCUGCUACCACAGCUGUCCCGGAGCCCAGCCUGACGCCAUCUCACGCCUGCUGGAGGAGCUGCAGAGGCUGGAGACAGAGUUGGGCUGACCCGCUGAGCGCUGGAAGGACACCUGGGAACGGAUGAGGCUGCACAGUGCCUCGAAGCCCGGCCAGAUGGACGUGGCACCCCUAGCUGCCUCCUAGCAUCCCCUGCACCCCACCACCGCUGCUCGCUGGUUAUGUACCAACAGGAGGAACCCCUGGGCUCCACCCUGAGCCUCAGCCUGGAGAGGGACCAGAGAAGUGGCUCCACCGCAUCUGGCUCCCACCAGGCUGCCCACUGCAGCACCAGUACCCUGUACAGCCAGUUCCAGACAGCUGAGAGUGAGAACAGGUCCUAUGAGGGCACUCUGUACAAGAAGGAGGCCUUCAUGAAGCCUUGGAAGGCCCGCUGGUUCAUGUUGGACAAGACCAAGCACCAGCUGCGCUACUACGGCCACCGUGUGGACACUGAGUGCAAGGGUGUCAUGGACCUGGCGGAGGUGGAGGCUGUGGCACCUGGCACAGUCCACCAUGGGCGCCCCUAAGAGCGUGGAUGAGAAGGCCUUCUUUGACGUGAAGACAACACGUCUCGUUUACAACUUUUGUGCCCAGGACGUGCCCUCGGUCCAGCAGUGGGUGGACCGGAUCCAGAGCCGCCUGUUGGAGGCCUGAGCCUCCCGGACUUGCCUGGCUGCUCUGCUUUCAGUCGUUACCGACCACUAGGGGUGGGCAGGGCCGCCCUGGCCGUGUUUACAGCCCCGGCCCGGCCCUCGGUAGUAUUAAGGCCCCGAACCCCCAGCACUUGUGUGUA